AGUGAACGCUGGCGGUAGGCCUAACACAUGCAAGUCGAACGGCAGCACAGUAAGAGCUUGCUCUUACGGGUGGCGAGUGGCGGACGGGUGAGGAAUACAUCGGAAUCUACUUUUUCGUGGGGGAUAACGUAGGGAAACUUACGCUAAUACCGCAUACGACCUACGGGUGAAAGCAGGGGAUCUUCGGACCUUGCGCGAUUGAAUGAGCCGAUGUCGGAUUAGCUAGUUGGCGGGGUAAAGGCCCACCAAGGCGACGAUCCGUAGCUGGUGUGAGAGGAUGAUAAGCCACACUGGAACUGAGACACGGUCCAGACUCCUACGGGAGGCAGCAGUGGGGAAUAUUGGACAAUGGGCGCAAGCCUGAUCCAGCCAUACCGCGUGGGUGAAGAAGGCCUUCGGGUUGUAAAGCCCUUUUGUUGGGAAAGAAAAGCAGCAGGUUAAUACCCCGCUGUUCUGACGGUACCCAAAGAAUAAGCACCGGCUAACUUCGUG
rnacentral:rRNA from 1 species